rnacentral:misc_RNA from 1 species
GUGAAUCAUCGAAUCUUUGAACGCAAAUUGCGCCUUUUUCUGAAGGCAUGUCUGUUUGAGUUCACCAUUUAACAAAUAAUGUGCAUUUCGUGUGCACUCGUUGAUGAGCUUUCCAUAUUUAUGUAUUAUUUUUGGUGGCGCAUAAUAAACAGCGCGAUUCUUUUUUUUAGUUCGAGUUUAGUAAAAUUUUUUCUUGCUUGGGUUGUGAAAAGCGUGAUCGCGCUAUGGGUGUUGUAAUUUUAGUUCAUCCCUGCCUCAACGCCACUCUUUCGCGCGAACGUUUUAAUCUUCAGGGC